UGCUUGCUCUUUCCCCUUCAAAUACUGAAGUUCCUGAAACCUUCCUUGGAAAAAUCACAGGUUGUAGAUGCUUCUGUGACUUGUUUUUGUUUUGUUGGUUUUUUUGCAUCCUCAAUCAUGGUUAAAUAAGCUUCUAAUCAAUUGAGACCUGCCUCAGUCACUUUUUGGUUUACAUGUGUCACUACUGGAUCAAAAGGUGUAAGUUCUCCAUGCCCUCUCUUCCCAUGCCAUGGUGACUGGUGAUUGUCUAGAUGGUGGCUCUUCUAGCAACCUGGAUCCCUGAGACCCUAGGUGGAACAGAGCCCUGCCCUUCCAUCCUCUUUUCUCCACUGCACUGAGCGUAUAACAUGAUUGAGAAAUAUACUUUGUUGUGUGAAGUCAUUGAAGUUUGGGGCUGAUUUACUGCGGUAGAACCUAGCCUCACCUGACUAAUAGACCAGCUGAGGGAGCUCCUUGCUCAGCGGCAUGGGUUCCCCCGACACCCCCACCCCACACAGAGGUAGGCUGGGGUUGAGCAGAGCAGGGGAGGACAGCAGGACUUUGACCCCUGGAGGAUUUGGCUUGGAUUUCCCUCUCUUUUUUUUUUAAUUUAAAAAAAUGUAUUUAUUUAUUUACUUAGAGACAGGGUCUUGCUGUGUUGCCCAGGCUGGAGUGCAAUGAUGCAACCUUAGCUUACUGCAGCCUCGGACUCCUGGGCUCAAGUAAUCCUCCCACCUCCGCCUCCUGAGUAGGUAGGACUACAGGAACACACCACCACAUCUGACUAAUUUUUUUUUUUUUUUUUUUUGUAGAGAUAGGUUUGCUAUGUUCCCUAGGCUGGUCUCAAACUUCUGGCCUCAAGCAAUCCUCCAGCCUCAGCCUUCCAAACUGCUGGGAUGACAGGUGUGAACCACCACCCCUGGCUCAGACCUCUCAAAGGGCUCACUGCCUCCAGGGGGACCACAGCUGGGCUGAGCCUGCAUUGCCUGAGCGCAUACACCUCCACUGUAGAGGGAGAGGGCACCUGCCAGUGGAGGUCAGCCGCAGGCAACACAAGGUGGAUUGUGUCUGAAUCACCAGUAGCUCUAUACAGCAACAGCUUCAGUCACCUCCUCCAGCCUUUCCUCCGAGGGGAG
rnacentral:lncRNA from 1 species